AUCUGAUUGGAUGACCGCCGAA
rnacentral:siRNA from 1 species